GAUGAACGCUGGCGGCGUGCCUAAUACAUGCAAGUCGAGCGAACAGACGAGGAGCUUGCUCCUCUGACGUUAGCGGCGGACGGGUGAGUAACACGUGGAUAACCUCCCUAUAAGACUGGGAUAACUUCGGGAAACCGGAGCUAAUACCGGAUAAUAUAUUGAACCGCAUGGUUCAAUAGUGAAAGACGGUUUUGCUGUCACUUAUAGAUGGAUCCGCGCCGCAUUAGCUAGUUGGUACGGUAACGGCUUACCAAGGCAACGAUGCGUAGCCGACCUGAGAGGGGGAUCGGCCACACUGGAACUGAGACACGGUCCAGACUCCUACGGGAGGCAGCAGUAGGGAAUCGUCCGCAAUGGGCGAAAGCCUGACGGAGCAACGCCGCGUGAGUGAUGAAGGUCUUCGGAUCGUAAAACUCUGUUAUUAGGGAAGAACAAAUGUGUAAGUAACUAUGCGCGUCUUGACGGUACCUAAUCAGAAAGCCACGGCUAACUACGUG
rnacentral:rRNA from 1 species